UGGUGUAUAGCUUAGUGGUAAAGCUCUGGUCUCCAAAACCAGUUAUCUAGGUUCGAUUCCUAGUUCACCAGCCA
rnacentral:tRNA from 1 species